rnacentral:rRNA from 1 species
GAUGAACGCUGGCGGCGUGCCUAAUACAUGCAAGUCGAGCGAACAGACGAGGAGCUUGCUCCUCUGACGUUAGCGGCGGACGGGUGAGUAACACGUGGAUAACCUACCUAUAAGACUGGGAUAACUUCGGGAAACCGGAGCUAAUACCGGAUAAUAUAUUGAACCGCAUGGUUCAAUAGUGAAAGACGGUUUUGCUGUCACUUAUAGAUGGAUCCGCGCCGCAUUAGCUAGUUGGUAAGGUAACGGCUUACCAAGGCAACGAUGCGUAGCCGACCUGAGAGAGUGAUCGGCCACACUAGAACUGAGACACGGACCAGACGCCUACGGGAGGGAGCAGUAGGCAAUCGUCCGCAAUGGUCGAAAGCCUUACGGAGCAACGCCGCGUGAGUGGUAAAGAUCUUCGGAUCGUGAAACUCUGUUAUUAGUGAAGAACAAAUGUGUAAGUAGCUAUGCACGUCUUGACGGUACCUAAUCAGAAAGCCACGGCUAACUACGUG